rnacentral:rRNA from 1 species
AUUGAACGCUGGCGGCAUGCCUUACACAUGCAAGUCGAACGGCAGCACGGGAGCAAUCCUGGUGGCGAGUGGCGAACGGGUGAGUAAUAUAUCGGAACGUGCCCAGUCGUGGGGAUAACGUAGCGAAAGCUACGCUAAUACCGCAUACGAUCUAUGGAUGAAAGCGGGGGAUCGCAAGACCUCGCGCGAUUGGAGCGGCCGAUAUCAGAUUAGGUAGUUGGUGAGGUAAAGGCUCACCAAGCCGACGAUCUGUAGCUGGUCUGAGAGGACGACCAGCCACACUGGGACUGAGACACGGCCCAGACUCCUACGGGAGGCAGCAGUGGGGAAUUUUGGGACAAUGGACGCAAGUCUGAUCAGCCAUUCCGCGUGCAGGAUGAAGGCCU